UGUGUAUGGCCACAGGCCUGUUCCUGCCUCAUUGUUGGCAGGCCCCAAACAGACUGUGCAUCUGGUUUGCUCCUUCCCUGCGUCUGUGGCUGUUCAGUGGAACCUGUUACCAGCACCUGGCUGCGUUUGGAUGCUUUGGGACGGUGACCCAGGUUGGUGAGGAUGCUGCCUGCAGUGGGGCCACCCUCGGCUUGCCUAUCCUAAGAGAGAGGUAAGGCCCGGCUGCUCCCUGACACCUCUUCCAUAGCGGCACAAGCCAAACCACUUCAUUUCCUCUCCAUCCGUGAUAAUAGUGAAGGUUCUGAGAUCUUUGCUGCUUUAAUUGUAGUGAAAUGUGCAAUUCCUUCACCAGCCAACAGACAGCAAGUCCCACCUUGUGCAGCGGUCAAGAACUGCCUGCUCUUUCAUUGCGAGCAUUUACUGUGCUUGAGGAACCGGAGGACCACAGGUUUGGAAAGCCAAGCCUGGACCACAGGCUGCACACAAAAUUUGGAUCUUAGGGUGUGCAUACUGAGCCUGAUACCUUUCAUAGGCUGUGCCCUUGUGCCAGGAAGGUGACAGCAGCUAUCUUUUUUUCCUUUUGUGCUAAUUUUCUGCAGUUUACAGGCAAGUUGCCAGAGUAAGUCCUCCAGUUGAAGUAGGUUGCAAAUAACAGCACUCUUGUUAGAAUAUGUAGCAAAUUGGUUUAUUCUAGUCCUUAAUCUACAUAAUAAGGGUGGAAAUGAGAGUAAUAAAUAUACUUAAGUGUUUGGAAAUGACUUUCUUCCUGAAGAUUUUUCACAGAAUGGAAAUUAGGAUUAAUUCUAGAGGAGGAGAGCUGACCUUAAAAGGCCCAUUGUAAUUGACCUUAAAGCCACAAUUC